GACGAACGCUGGCGGCGUGCUUAACACAUGCAAGUCGAACGGUGAAGCGCCUUCCUUUUUGGUGGGUGUGGAUGAGUGGCGAACGGGUGAGUAACACGUGAGUAACCUGCCCCCUUCUUCUGGAUAACCGCAUGAAAGUGUGGCUAAUACGGGAUAUUCUGGGUCUGUCGCAUGAUGGGUCUGGGAAAGAUAUUGUUUCGGUGGGGGAUGGGCUCGCGGACUAUCAGCUUGUUGGUGGGGUGAUGGCCUACCAAGGCGGUGACGGGUAGCCGGCCUGAGAGGGUGGACGGUCACACUGGGACUGAGACACGGCCCAGACUCCUACGGGAGGCAGCAGUGGGGAAUAUUGCACAAUGGGCGCAAGCCUGAUGCAGCGACGCCGCGUGAGGGAUGGAGGCCUGCGGGUUGUGAACCUCUUUCGCCAGUGAAGCAGGCCUGCCUCGUUUGUGGGUGGGUUGACGGUAGCUGGAUAAGAAGCGCCGGCUAACUACGUG
rnacentral:rRNA from 1 species